AACUUUCAGCAAUGGAUCUCUUGGCUCUCGCAUCGAUGAAGAACGCAGCGAAAUGCGACAAGUAAUGUGAAUUGCAGAAUUCAGUGAAUCAUCGAAUCUUUGAACGCAUCUUGCGCUCCUUGGUAUUCCGAGGAGCAUGCCUGUUUGAGUGUCAUUUAAAACUUCUCAACCACUUGGAGUCUCUCUGGGUGGCUUGGAAAUGGGGGAUGUGCAGGCCAGCUAAUGGUCUGCUCCCCUGAAAUGAAUUAGUGGCAUCUGAGCAGAGACUACCACAGGUGUGAUAACUAUUGAUCAAUGCCCUUGGUAUAUACUGCAGGUUGUUGCUGCUUCUAAUGACCCAUUGACAAACUUGACCUCAAAUCAGGUAGGAUUACCCGCUGAACUUAAGCAUAUCAAUAAGCGGAGGCU
rnacentral:misc_RNA from 1 species